GAGCCGAAUCCUUUUCUCUGCCAACCGCUUUGUGAAUGUUCCACCCAGCCCCAACGGUCGGAGGCCUUCAUGUCCCGUCAAGGCGCCGUGGUCCUGGAUGUGUUAACUGUAACUUUGAAACGCCAACUCGGCCGUAUUAACUGGGUUCUUUAUUUAAUUUUGCAUGCUGGGAAGGAUGUAGCCCACCGCGGGAUGCUACGAUAUCUAACGAACGAUACGGACUGUCUGCUCAGCUUCCUUCAGUUAUCAGCUGAUUGGUCCCCAGUCCCACGGUGCGCUGGUGUGUAUCCGUGGUAACCCUCACCUCAGUGCCCUCUCCUGGAGCCGGGCCGCUGCCCUUCUCUGACUUUGGCGGCUCAGGACGUGGAUCGCCUUAGAGUGGUUGUACUCCGUGUACUGGUUUGUGUUUGUUGAGCCUCUGGCGGGGGCGGGUUUCAUGUUUGUUCACUGGUCUGUAAUUCACACACUUCUUCUAGACUCUUCUAUCGAUGGUCUGGCCCGGAGCGGACUCACAGGGCUUCUGACCUCGCUUGUAAAGAAAAUGGAGAAAGAUUUAGGGAGAGAGCGCGCUGGGUGCUAGGGGAAGCAGCUCGCUGUGCAGCUGCUCUGGAUGCCUUUGGAUUACAUCAGAGUGGCUGAGAAAACAAGAGGCAGCGAGAGGGAGAGAGGAGCUCGAGUCGACACCUCCAGGGCGGCCUUCACCAAGUCAGUCACUACAGAAGAACACUGCUGGUGACGAGACCAUGUUCUCUGGGGCUCUGAUGGUGUUGCUGGUGGUCCUCAUCAUGUGCAGGAGGGUCAUAUGGCACGGGAUCUGCCUGCUGAUUGGUCGGAUGUUGUUUAACGAGCCUGUGAGGGAUAAACAAAAAACUAAUAAAGUUUUGUGAGACCAACGCACCGACUGAGUCAAUCAUUU